rnacentral:rRNA from 1 species
GAUGAACGCUGGCGGCGUGCCUAAUACAUGCAAGUCGAGCGAACGGACGAGAAGCUUGCUUCUCUGAUGUUAGCGGCGGACGGGUGAGUAACACGUGUAUAACCUACCUAUAAUACUGGGAUAACUUCGGGAAACCGUAGCUAAUACCGGAGAAUAUUUUGAACCGCAUGGUUCAAAAGUGAAAGACGGUCUUGCUGUCACGUAUAGAUGCAUCCGGGCUGCAUUAGCUAGUUGGUAAGGUAAUGGCUUACCAAGGCAACGAUGCAUAACCGAACUGAGAGGCGGAUCGCCCACCCUGGAACUGAAACACGGUCCAGGCUACUACGGGAGGCAGCAGAAGCGAAUCUUCCGCAAUGGGCGAAAGCCUGACGGAGCAACGCGGAGUGAGUGAUGAAGGUCUUCGGAUCGUAAAACUCUGUUAUUAGGGAAGAACAUAUGUGUAAGUAACUGUGCACAUCUUGACGGUACCUAAUCAGAAAGCCACGGCUAACUACGUG